rnacentral:tRNA from 1 species
CCACUGCUCAGCUGGUAGAGCACAAGGCUCUUAACCUUGUGGACGUGGGUUCAAGCCCUAUGGUGGG